rnacentral:lncRNA from 1 species
UUUUCUUGUAAAUUUGUUUAAAUUCUUUGUAGAUUCUGGAUAUUAGCCCUUUGUCAGAUGGAUAGAUUGCAAAAAUUUUCUCCCAUUCUGUAGGCUGUUCACUCUGAUGAUAGUUUCUUUUGCUGUGCAGAAGCUAUUUAGUUUCAUUAGAUCCCAUUUUUCUAUUAUGGCCUUUGUUGUCAUUGCUUUGGAUCCUGCUUUUUUAUCCAUACUGCCGUACUGCCAAUCUGUAUAUUUUAAGUGGGGAUAUUUAGUUCAUUUAUAUUCAAGAUUAAUAUAGGUGUGUAAGCUUUUGUUCUUGUCAUAAUCUCCUAGUUACUUCGUGGUAUCAAUUCUGUAAUUGUUUUAGAAGAUCUGUGAGUUUUAUACUUUUGUGUUGAUAUGAUGGUGCAUAUCAACAUUUUAUUUUCAUAUUUAGAUCUUCUUUGAGCAUUUCUUGUAGUCAGUCUAGUAGUGACAAAUUUCCUUUGCAUUUGAUUUUCUGGGAAAAGACUUUGUUUCUUCUUUAUGCAUAAAGCUUAGUAACGAAGGAAACAAAAUUUUUGUCUGACAGUUGUUUUAUUUAAGAAGAAUUAAAAUAGAACCGCAAUCUCUUCUGGCUUUUAAGAUUUCUGCUGAGAAGUCCAUUGUUAGUCUGAUCGAAUUUCCUUUAUAAGUGAUUAGACACUUUUGUUUUUCUGGUCUUAGGAUUUUUUUCUUUACAUUGACUUUAGAUAAUCUGAUAACCAUAUGCCUUAGUGAAAUCUAUCUUGAAGUGUGUCUUUCUGGAGCUCUCUGAGCUUCUGUUA